rnacentral:misc_RNA from 1 species
GAUGAAGAACGCAGCGAAAUGCGAUAAGUAGUGUGAAUUGCAGAAUUCAGUGAAUCAUCGAAUCUUUGAACGCACAUUGCGCCCUUUGGUAUUCCUUAGGGCAUGCCUGUUCGAGCGUCAUUUAAACCUUCAAGCUAAGCUUGGUGUUGGGUGACUGUCCGCUUCACGGCGGACUCGCCUCAAAAUUAUUGGCGGCCGGUACAUUGGCUUCGAGCGCAGCAGAAACGCGAACUCGGGCCCGUCGUAUUGGCUCCCAGAAGCUAUCUUCACAAUUUUGACCUCGGAUCAGGUAGGGAUACCCGCUGAACUUAAGCAUAUCAAAUAAGCGGAGGA